rnacentral:rRNA from 1 species
CCUACGGGAGGCAGCAGUAAGGAAUAUUGGACAAUGCUCGCAAGAGUGAUCCAGCCAUGCCGCGUGCAGGAAGAAUGCCCUAUGGGUAGUAAACUGCUUUUGAACUAGAGAAAACCCCAGUACGUGUACUGGGCUGAUAGUAUAGUUAGAAUAAGCAUCGGCUAACUUCGUGCCAGCAGCCGCGGUAAGACGAAGGAUGCAAGCGUUAUCCGGAUUCAUUGGGUUUAAAGGGAGCGUAGGUGGACUGAUAAGUCAGUGGUGAAAUCUCCGAGCUUAACUCGGAAAUUGCCAUUGAUACUGUUGGUCUUGAGUACAGUUGCUGUGGGCGGAAUAUGACAUGUAGUGGUGAAAUACAUAGAGAUGUCAUAGAACACCGAUUGCGAAGGCAGCUCACAAAGCUGUAACUGACACUGAGGCUCGAAAGUGCGGGGAUCAAACAGGAUUAGAUACCCUGGUAGUCCGCACCGUAAACGAUGAUUACUCGCUGCUAGGGGGCAACCUUUAGUGGCUUAGCGAAAGCGAUAAGUAAUCCCACCGUGGAGGACGCCGGCGACGGUAGAACGUAAAGUAAGUAGACGGACGNGAGAGNGCGAGGACGACGACGAGGGAGGUAGG